CCCGAAAAAAAACACUCAACAAAGCAUUUAACACUCGGCAAAGAUGUGGAUUCCAGUAGUGCUAUGCUAUGAUUUUUUUUUUUUGCUUAAUGAAUUCCUCUUUAAUUGUUUUGUUUCUCCUUAUACAUGUUGUAUUUCUAUGGAAUUUCUAUGCUUUUGGAUGAAGGGGAGGGCAAAUGAAUAUGUAAGAACUUUUCUAUUGGCAGAAUCCCAACUAUAUAUGAGUAAUCACUUCUGUUUGUUGUACAUAAAGGAAGGGGCUCCUAGGAAAGAGUCAACUCUCUUGUAGUUCCUCAUAAAAUUCAACGGUAUAUAUUAUUUUUUUUAUUAACGUGGUAAUAUCCAGAUUGGUGCAAAGAACAUGGUCAACGGUAUAUUUUUUUUAUAUUAACGUGGUAAUAUCUAGAUUGGUGCAAACAACAUCGUCACUUAGAUUUGACUAGUAUAUUGCCCAUAUUAACACUGUGGAUGACAUUAAGUCCAAACUUAAUUCUAUCAAAUUUGAAGUAUUUAGCUAAUUAUUUGUGCUUUUGUAAAAGCUGUUUCUAUAACACUAUUAUGUGUCAGUAUCCUUUUUCUAUAGAUUUUUCUGUUUCAUAAUUAGAAUACCUCUCUUAUCCGAUUCUAAAUUGAGCUGAUCUAUAUAUGAAUUUUGAUGGAUAUGAGCUAUACAAUGGAGAAAUCCAACUUGCAUUUGGAGUGGUGCUCCGGUUUUUCCAGACAUGCCAAUUUUGAUCGGCAACCAUAUAUAUUUGCACAAGAAAAUACAAAUUUAUUUUGACCCGCAAGUCCGCGACACAACAUAAGUAAGCAGCCGGUAGGUACACCGAGUAUAUAAUGUUAUAUAUUAUUAUUAGACGAGGGCUGGGAAGGAUCGGAUCGUUAUUUAGGUGGGAUCAUGCAUUGUAUCAUUGCCGGAUCGGAGCGCUCGCAUCAACCUCAGUCUUAGAGGUGCAUCUAGGUUGGCACCAGCAUUGAAAAAAGUUACAGAAGCCUUCAUAGUUGUCGCUGCUUUCUUCUAUGCAUACACGAUUGCAGGCGGCAUCGUGUAUCAAUCCAAUACAUAUCCCUUUAUAAUUGCCGCUCAGGUGUUCAGGGCAAAGAAAUGACCCAAUGGACGUCGACUCUGCAUGGUUCAGAUCCAAGCAUGCACAUUUAUGCAACAAAUGUCGAAGGUGCAUCAAUCAACUUUAAAUUAGCAAAAGAUUAAUCAAAUGACAUCACUACUUGCAACAUGUAGUUGAUGCAUGUGAGCGCGUACAUACCACGAGCUGCUAUGACAACAGGUAGGAGAACGACGACUAGGAUGAUAGCAGAGAGAUUCAUUUGUGAAGGCGCCAUAAUUUGCUUCUUAUCUUCAAGCAUAUUUGUUGCAAUCGAGUUUGGAGAUGUCUA
rnacentral:lncRNA from 1 species